UGCACACGAGGAUCUUGCCCGAUUACCUACCAAAUGAACAUUUCAUCAGCGUACUACCCGUUUAUUAGUCAAUCCAAACCACGUGACCUCUGGUUGGCACACAAACUAACAAAGAGGUUAUGUUUGUAUCUAUUUUUCAAUGAUUUUUCAUUGUUUAUCGUCGUAUUUUGUCUAUUUUGGAUUCAUUUGGAUUUCGUUUCCUGUUUUUGUUAACUUUAUAAACUUUACCACAAUGCAAAGUGAUUAUUUAAGGAAAUCAUUAUUGGAAACUCCAGAUGUUGCGAGAAAGAUAUUUAUUGAAGCUGAAAAUAAUUGGGGACUUAGAUCCAUAGGCAAUUCAGUCAGAAUUGGAUUUUACAGUAAAGUGCAGUCCAUCAAGUUACUAUUAUAGAUAUUUAUACAUAUUUGGUGGAGUCUCACAGUUGCUACUCUAAGCAGCAGAUGAAAGAAAGCAUACAAAAGCCUUCAGGCACAUAAAUAUUUUACAGCUAAAUUUGUUUUGAACGUUGGAGUAAAAAUUGUUAAUGAUUUCCUGAUUUCCAUAUUAUUGUUGGAAAGGUGAAGCAUUUCCAAAAAGCUAAUGCUAAACGACUAAAUACUUGGGUGGGGUGAUAGCCAGUUCUGAUGACAUAGCAAAUGCACAUUGUAUGCAUAUGGCCGGUAAUAGUGAAGCCUGCAGCCAUAUUGCAGCAAUCCUAUUUUUAGCUGAGUAUGCCCAGGGCACGACAGAUGAAGAAGAACCAAAUGCAUGUACAUAUGUUACAGCUACAUGGUUUGGAGAUAGCAACAUAUGCAUUCUCUGAUGAAAAACUAAUGAGUUUUGAAACUGUUCUGUCAGAGUGCUUGUUGCGCUCACUAAACGAACUGAAAUAUAAGACGGUUUUGGCAUUGUGUUGCAGCGAUAUAGAAAAUGGCUAUUCAUUUUUAAUUAUAAUGUACUUCUUCAUCAUGAGUAAUUAUGUAUUGGUCUUUUAAAUGUGUAUUUAUUUUUGUAAUUAGUAUCAACUUGUAAUGAUAAUAUACAUUUAUCGUUUAAGGUAUGACUAUGUUUUGACUCUAAAAUAAAUGUUUUAAAAAUCGAA
rnacentral:lncRNA from 1 species